rnacentral:rRNA from 1 species
CAGCAGCCGCGGUAAUACGAAGGGUGCAAGCGUUACUCGGAAUUACUGGGCGUAAAGCGUGCGUAGGUGGUUUGUUAAGUCUGAUGUGAAAGCCCUGGGCUCAACCUGGGAACUGCAUUGGAAACUGGCUGACUAGAGUGCGGUAGAGGGGUGUGGAAUUCCCGGUGUAGCAGUGAAAUGCGUAGAUAUCGGGAGGAACAUCUGUGGCGAAGGCGACACCCUGGACCAGCACUGGCACUGAGGCACGAAAGCGUGGGGAGCAAACAGGAUUAGAUACCCUGGUAGUCCACGCCCUAAACGAUGCGAACUGGAUGUUGGGGGCAACUUGGCCCUCAGUAUCGAAGCUAACGCGUUAAGUUCGCCGCCUGGGAAGUACGGUCGCAAGACUGAAACUCAAAUGAAUUGACGG